rnacentral:rRNA from 1 species
UGCCAGCAGCCGCGGUAAUACGGAGGGUGCAAGCGUUAAUCGGAAUUACUGGGCGUAAAGCGCGCGUAGGUGGAUAAUUAAGUCAGAUGUGAAAUCCCGGGGCUUAACCUCGGAACUGCAUUUCGAACUGGUCAACUAGAGUACUGUAGAGGGUGGUGGAAUUUCCAGUGUAGCGGUGAAAUGCGUAGAGAUUGGAAGGAACAUCAGUGGCGAAGGCGGCCACCUGGACAGAUACUGACGCUGAGGCACGAAAGCGUGGGGAGCAAACAGGAUUAGAUA